rnacentral:rRNA from 1 species
GACGAACCGUGCGAACGUUGUUCGGAAUCACUGGGCUUAAAGGGCGCGUAGGCGGGCAGGCAAGUCAGGGGUGAAAUCCCACGGCUCAACCGUGGAAGUGCCUUUGAUACUGCCGGUCUUGAGGGAGGUAGGGGCGUGCGGAACUUCCGGUGGAGCGGUGAAAUGCGUAGAUAUCGGAAGGAACACCGGUGGCGGAAGCGGCGCGCUGGACCUCUUCUGACGCUGAGGCGCGAAAGCCAGGGGAGCAAACAGG